rnacentral:rRNA from 1 species
UACGUAGGGUGCAAGCGUUACUCGGCAUUACUGGGCGUAAAGCGUGCGCAGGCGGCUUUGCAAGACAGAUGUGAAAUCCCCGGGCUCAACCUGGGAACUGCAUUCGAGACUGCAUUGCUAGAGUAUGGGAGAGGGAAGUGGAAUUUCCGGUGUAGCGGUGAAAUGCGUAGAUAUCGGAAGGAACAUCAGUGGCGAAAGCGACUUCCUGGACCAAUACUGACGUUCAGGCACGAAAGCGUGGGGAGCAAACAGG